GGUUGUGUGGCUCGGUGGUAGAGCGUUUGCUUCACGUGCAUUAAGCCCUGGGUUCAAUCCCCACCACUGCUU
rnacentral:tRNA from 1 species